rnacentral:precursor_RNA from 14 species
UUGAGAAGAUUUCACUAGGACCUGGUCUGUUCUCUUGAGAGCCAUAUAGAGGGAUGAGUUAAGAAGCCUGCUAUAUGCUCUCGGGAUUCCAGAACACGUCACUACACAAUACCAAGUGGU